UAUCACAUAUCUAUAACAAAUUUUGAUAUUCAUCACACAUUCUAUAAUCUGUGACGAAUUUUUUGGAUUUGUUGUAAAUUUACGACGAAUUUACUUUCAUGGCAUAAAAAUCCUAAGUUUUUAAUCCACGCGAUCCAUUUUCUCCUUUGCCCUAAUUUUUCUUGGAGGUGGCGGCGCGUGAAGGAGAUUUCAUUGUGGCGAUUUUCGACAAGGUAAGGUCUUCACCUCUCUCUUCUGACUCCGACAAGUCUCCCGACACUCGACCGACGACGACUGGCACUGGCCGACCGCAGGAACCUGUGACUGGCCCUGGCAAGGGAGGAGUCCGAAGCGCAAGAGGGAUUGCUCCUAGCGAGGGACAUCCGGUCAUGAUGUUGUGCGGAAGGCAUUAAUUAUGGUAUCAUCGCUAAAAUCAUUGUUGAAGGAAGUGCGUAGCCUGGGAGACUUGAUGGAGAGAAUGGAGCUCUCUAUGAGCAAAAAGGUUGCAAGGAGGCCCCCAUUAUGAUGAGUCAAGUUUGCAAAGUUAGCAGCAACUGAAACAUUUCAGCUUAAUCAUUGCAUUCACAUUUUACUGCUUAUUGAACUUUGUGUAACGCUCAAUUUAUCCUCACAUGUUGUGGCUUCCCGAUUAGUUUCUCAAAGACCAACAGAUUAUUGGCUUGAUGAAUAAAUUAUCAGCUGCAAUCCUGGUCCUUUGUACCUUGCCUUGGCUGGAACGUUAUGGAAGAAAUUGUAAUGGUUAAUUUAAUCUUGAUGUAAUCAUUGUAUGUAAAGUUUGUAGCUUAGUUAAUAUAUCAUACGUACUUCUUCACGGACUAAAAUAUCAUCAGUGUGUUUCUUUUGAAGUUUGCUAGUGAUUCUUAUAUGUUAAAGAAAUUGUUAUUGCUAAUGACAGAUUUCUGAUUUCAUAUUUCAUUAUUUAGAGCAUAGAUGAAGGAAGACUGAAAAUGAAAGCAAGCUGCCCACUUGUAACUGAUCUCAGGUUGAAGGACAAUGCAAUUAGAAUCUUAAUGAGCUAUAAUCCAAUGUGGCUCUGAGUUGGAUUGCAUAUAAUAUUUGGUGGUGACUCUUUUCUUUCUAAUGAAGAAGGAAAAUCAGAUCAAGAGUUUCUGUUCCUCAGGAUGGUAAUAGAAACACAAUUCUAAGUGAAACUUGCAAGAUCUUUUGUAUAUAAUAAGUUUGUUGAGGGCAUAUAUAAGGAAGGUUAUCAUGAAGCUUUGGGGAGUGUGAUCUUGAAGAGAUUUUUGUUGCUUGUUGUUUCACUUGACAAAGCUAAGUCUGUGUGCACUCUUCCUACUAAAUAUCGGAUUGAUAAUAUUGAUGGUGGUUCUCCUUUGUUGUUUAUUCUUCAUUCCCAUUUAAAAUCAAGUCAGCAAGUUAUCAAUGGUAGGUUUCUGUAAUAGAAAGAGCAGAUAUCACUAAUCAUUAUUUUCUAUUAAGUUAAUGUAGAGAGAUGUUUAUUAUUUCUUCAUUGCUCUGAUUGUUCUUUUUUUCUUUUGAAAAUUUUCAGAGUUUCUAUCAAAAAUAAUGCAUGGAGAAGGUAAUCUUUUAGAGCAUCUUCUCACUCUGGGUUACAAAGUGAAUCACCAGUAGAAUCCAAUUUCAGAAUAUGAGUUUAAUGUGAAAGAUUUAUCCGAAGAAAUUCACGAUGGUAUACUGCUUUCUAGGGUUAUUCAGCUAUUGCAAAAUGAUGCAUCUAUACUAUAAGUAAGACUCUUCAUAUUAGUAACUUGUUAACAGAUAUUUUUGUUCUUCAAAUGUUCAACUAAAAUUCCUUUAUGAUUGACUUUAACAGAAAUUAAUGGUUCCUCCAAACACAAGUAAAAAGAACUUGCAUAUAGUGGUGAUGAAUCUUCUUGUAUGAUUAUUAUUUAUCUCAUAAUUAGUAUUUUUGAAUGUUAAUUAUUUGAUUAUAAAUGUUUCUUUUUUUUUUGUUAAUACUAUUAAUUUGUUUAAAAUAGGAUUGGUCAGACCCAAUGAAAAUCAAUGUCCGAAUAAGUGAAAAUUAUUUUUUUUGUUCAUAUAUAGUAAUUUAUUUCUUGUAAUCAUUGAUAUUGUAUAUUUUUAUUUCGAUGCAGAAAAAAAUGAUAUUGGAAGAAGAUGGAGAAGAUUUAGUGAUGUUUAGAUAUUUGUUGAUGUAUGGAUGGUCUAGAACUUCUUAUGUUGGUUGGAUUGUAUGGAUAUUUUGUGAUAUUUGGAUUUGAUGUAUAAAUUGUGUUUUGAUUUAAUGUAUAGUUUUAUUUUGUUA